CUUGAGACCAGGAGAGGUCAAGGCUGC
rnacentral:piRNA from 1 species